rnacentral:rRNA from 1 species
UACGGAGGGUGCAAGCGUUAUCCGGAUUCACUGGGUUUAAAGGGUGCGUAGGUGGGCUGGUAAGUCAGUGGUGAAAUCUCCGAGCUUAACUCGGAAACUGCCAUUGAUACUAUCAGUCUUGAAUUUUCUGGAGGUAAGCGGAAUAUGUCAUGUAGCGGUGAAAUGCUUAGAUAUGACAUAGAACACCCAUUGCGAAGGCAGCUUACUACGGGAUAAUUGACACUGAGGCACGAAGGCCAGGGGAGCAAACGGG